CAAUAAGAGUGUUUAUGGCACUCUUUCAAAAAAUCCAUACCCACCUUGUGUGCAAUGUAAAAAAAAAAAGGAGUUUUCUUGUGGUUUGGGAGUGAGAGUUGUUUUACAACGCUCAUUUUUUUUUUUUUCCUCAAGAGACACUUUUUUUUCAUUUCAUAUACACCUUUCUAUAAGUUUCCUAUUGUCUGAAGUACUUGGAAUAAAUAUAAUUCUAAAAUA
rnacentral:misc_RNA from 1 species